rnacentral:rRNA from 1 species
GACGAACGCUGGCGGCGUGCCUAAUACAUGCAAGUUGAGCGCUGAAGGUUGGUACUUGUACCAACUGGAUGAGCAGCGAACGGGUGAGUAACGCGUGGGGAAUCUGCCUUUGAGCGGGGGACAACAUUUGGAAACGAAUGCUAAUACCGCAUAAAAACUUUAAACACAAGUUUUAAGUUUGAAAGAUGCAAUUGCAUCACUCAAAGAUGAUCCCGCGUUGUAUUAGCUAGUUGGUGAGGUAAAGGCUCACCAAGGCGAUGAUACAUAGCCGACCUGAGAGGGUGAUCGGCCACAGUGGGACUGAGACACGGCCCAAACUCCUACGGGAGGCAGCAGUAGGGAAUCUUCGGCAAUGGACGAAAGUCUGACCGAGCAACGCCGCGUGAGUGAAGAAGGUUUUCGGAUCGUAAAACUCUUUUGGUAGAGAAGAACGUUGGUGAGAGUGGAAAGCUCAUCAAGUGACGGUAACUACCCAGAAAGGGACGGCUAACUACGUG